GGGAAUAUUGCACAAUGGGGGAAACCCUGAUGCAGCGACGCCGCGUGAGUGAAGAAGUAUUUCGGUAUGUAAAGCUCUAUCAGCAGGGAAGAAAAUGACGGUACCUGAUUAAGAAGCCCCGGCUAACUACGUGCCAGCAGCCGCGGUAAUACGUAGGGGGCAAGCGUUAUCCGGAAUUACUGGGUGUAAAGGGAGCGUAGACGGCGAGGUAAGCCUGAAGUGGAAGCCCGCGGCCCAACCGCGGAACUGCUUUGGGAACUGUUUUGCUGGAGUAUGGGAGGGGUAAGCGGAAUUCCUGGUGUAGCGGUGAAAUGCGUAGAUAUCAGGAGGAACACCGGUGGCGAAGGCGGCUUACUGGACCAUAACUGACGUUGAGGCUCGAAAGCGUGGGGAGCGAACAG
rnacentral:rRNA from 1 species